UACGAAGGGGGCUAGCGUUGCUCGGAAUCACUGGGCGUAAAGGGUGCGUAGGCGGGUCUUUAAGUCAGAGGUGAAAUCCUGGAGCUCAACUCCAGAACUGCCUUCGAUACUGGCGAUCUCGAGUUCGGGAGAGGUGAGUGGAACUGCGAGUGUAGAGGUGAAAUUCGUAGAUAUUCGCAAGAACACCAGUGGCGAAGGCGGCUCACUGGCCCGAUACUGACGCUGAGGCACGAAAGCGUGGGGAGCAAACAGG
rnacentral:rRNA from 1 species